rnacentral:rRNA from 1 species
UACGUAGGGGGCAAGCGUUGUCCGGAAUCAUUGGGCGUAAAGAGCGUGUAGGCGGUUCGGUAAGUCGGCUGUGAAAGUCCAGGGCUCAACCCUCGAAUGCCGGUGGAUACUGUCGGGCUAGAGUGCGGAAGAGGCGAGUGGAAUUCCUGGUGUAGCGGUGAAAUGCGCAGAUAUCAGGAGGAACACCGAUUGCGAAGGCAGCUCGCUGGGACGUUACUGACGCUGAGACGCGAAAGCGUGGGGAGCAAACAGG